GUCACGCCCGAAGUCGUUACUCUAACCUUAGGGAGGAGGGCGCCGAAGGCAGGGCUAGUGACUGGGGUGAAGUCGUAACAAGGUAGCCGUACCGGAAGGUGUGGCUGGAUCACCUCCUUU
rnacentral:rRNA from 2 species